GACGAACGCUGGCGGCGUGCCUAAUACAUGCAAGUAGAACGCACAGUUUAUACCGUAGCUUGCUACACCAUAGACUGUGAGUUGCGAACGGGUGAGUAACGCGUAGGUAACCUGCCUGGUAGCGGGGGAUAACUAUUGGAAACGAUAGCUAAUACCGCAUAAUAUUAAUUAUUGCAUGAUAAUUAAUUGAAAGGUGCAAUUGCACCACUACCAGAUGGACCUGCGUUGUAUUAGCUAGUAGGUGAGGUAACGGCUCACCUAGGCGACGAUACAUAGCCGAACUGAGAGGGUGUGCGGCCACACUGGGACUGAGACGCAGCCCAGACUCCUACGGGAGGCAGCAGUAGGGAAUCUUCGGCAAUGGACGAAAGUCUUACCGAGCAACGCCGCGUGAGUGAAGAAGGUUUUCGGAUCGUAAAGCUCUGUUGUAAGAGAAGAACGGGUGUGAGAGUGGAAAGUUCACACUGUGACGGUAUCUUACCAGAAAGGGACGGCUAACUACGUG
rnacentral:rRNA from 1 species